UUCUCUUCUUCCUUUUGUCCCCUCUUGCCCUUUGGAUUUCCACCAUGGAAUGACAAAGCAAGUUGGCCCUUACAAGAUGCCACCACAUUGAUAUUGGACUUCCCAGCCUCUAGAACUGAUCCUUCCUUUUCCUUGACCUUCAGGAGGUUGAUUAUCAAAUUCUUUGAAGGAGACUUCUCUGUGUUAAAUGUGCUUUGUGUAGAAAUUAGACUGACACCUAUGACCAUCUAAUCUUCAACAAAACUGACAAAAGCAAGCAAUGGGGAAAAGAUUCCCUAUGCAAUAAAUCCUAUUGGGACAACUGGCUAGCAAUAUGCAGAAGAUUUAAAAUGGACCCCUUCCUUACACUAUAAACAAAAAUCAACUCAAGAUGGAUUAAAGAUUUAAAUAUUAAACUCAAAACUAUAAAAACUCUGGAAGACAACCUAGGUGAUACCAUCCUGGACACAGGCAGGAAAAGAUGUCCUGACAAAGAUAUCAAAAGCAAUUGCAACAAAAGCAUAAAUUGACAAGUGGAAUCUAAUUAAAUGUAAGAGCUUCUGCACAGCAAAGAAACUAACAACAGAGUAAAUAGACAACCUACAGAAUGGAAGAAAAUAUUUGCAAACUAUGCAUCUGAUGAAGGUCUAAUAUUCAGCAUCUAUAAGGAACUAAAACAAAUUUACAAGAGAAAAACAAACAACCCCAUUAAAAAGUGAGCAAAGAACAUGAACGGCCUAGAAGUUCGAGGCUGCAGUGAGCUAUGGAAUGCCACUGCCUUUCAGCCUGGGAUAUGGAGUAAAACUGUCUCACACACACAGAAGACAUCUCUCUCUCUCUGCACAACGGAGAAGACAGUGGCUUUAAACUUACAUAGCUAGCCUCACCUUUUAAGAUAUUUUUCUUGGCAAUCUUGUUUUCUCUAAGCCUUUACCGAAGCCCUAUUUUGUUUCAGCAAAUAUUGGUGUUGGGACCCAAGUUCUGUUCUUUUGGGAUGUAAAUAUCACCUGAGUCAUGUUUUUGAAAGUGCAAAUUUAAGAGCUGACUACUAACAAUUGUUUAGACUUGAUGAGUAAAGGGAAAAGAAACAAUCUGAAAUCUGGCAGAGGAAGGAUUUAUGAAGCUAUAAAAUUUGCAUCUAUCUGAGUGUCUCUGUCUAACUGUUUAUAUAUGUCAU
rnacentral:lncRNA from 1 species